CCUACGGGAGGAAGCAGUGAGGAAUAUUGGUCAAUGGACGAGAGUCUGAACCAGCCAAGUAGCGUGAAGGAUGACUGCCCUAUGGGUUGUAAACUUCUUUUAUAUGGGAAUAAAAUGUUCCACGUGUGGGAUUUUGUAUGUACCAUAUGAAUAAGGAUCGGCUAACUCCGUGCCAGCAGCCGCGGUAAUACGGAGGAUCCGAGCGUUAUCCGGAUUUAUUGGGUUUAAAGGGAGCGUAGGUGGAUUGUUAAGUCAGUUGUGAAAGUUUGCGGCUCAACCGUAAAAUUGCAGUUGAAACUGGCAGUCUUGAGUACAGUAGAGGUGGGCGGAAUUCGUGGUGUAGCGGUGAAAUGCUUAGAUAUCACGAAGAACUCCGAUUGCGAAGGCAGUUCACUGGACUGCAACUGACACUGAGGCUCGAAAGUGUGGGUAUCAAACAGGAUUAGAUACCCCUGUAGUC
rnacentral:rRNA from 1 species